GAGAGACAUAUCUAUUUCUGACAGCACCCCUAAUCUACAUCAAAGAAGAUGAUUGGCACUGAAGAACCUCUACAUGGAGUUUGCUUCAAACAUGGCAAUGCUGGGCAAAAAACUACCCUUACCUUGACUGCUGACAGCAUGCUGUCCAAAUUGUGGACAAGCAGGACACUGGGACGUCAACUGCCCAUCUUUGCAGAGAUAAAGUAGGCUAGUCCUUCAAAAUUCCUGCUUCACAGAAAAGUCUGUCAGAUAUUCUGGGCCUGUCGCUGAAGAUGGAUGCUCCAAAGAUACAGAAGUACCUUGGGUAGUCGACUGUCCAGGCAGCCAGCAGACUCUGACAUUUCUAAAGUUUGAACGCUACCUGCUCUGUACCUCCUGGUAACUCAGGUAUGUGCCUGAGUGUGUAUGUAUGUGCACCUGGUGUAUGUAGGAGCCUGCAAAGGUCAGAAGAGAAUAUCAGAUUCCCUGGGACUGGAGUUACAUACCUGGUCAUGAGGCACCAUGAAGGUCCUGGGAACUGAAUUUGGUUUCUCUGGAAGAGCAGCCGACACUCUUAAAAUGCUGAGCCAUACAAGUCCCUUCCAGUCCGCGCCAGCACCGGGUCAUCUGGGUGCGGAGUUGGUGGACAUCCCCAAGGACUCUAGAGGACUCUCCACCUGAUUUUAGGACCACUGGUGAGUGGAACACAACUUCUGUUCCAUUCUAAUCGUGUGGGACCUGAGACAGCAUUAGGGAAGCAGAAAACCUGGCCUGACCAGGGUCACAAGUUCCUUCCUCGGCACCAGCACCUGGUCACCUUGGGUGCAGAGGCCGAGGCCCCCAAGGACCCUAGAGGACAGCUUCUGAGGCAGACCCCAUUUUGGGCUCCAGACAUCCGGGCACCUUCCCUGCCAGAGGAGAGGUGUCCACCCCGCCUGCAAGGGCUUUGCUGUAGCAUCUGGGGAUGCUUAGGUGAGAAUGUGGGCUACAGAAGCUAACAGCUUCUGGGACAGGCCCUGUUUUGGGCCUUCAUCUUCUGCCAGGAGGCAGGUCCGAAUUCCAGAUAUUUGUGCACCUUCCCUGCAAGAGAAGAGCUUGCCUGCAGAGAGUGCUCUGACCACUGAAACUCAAGAGAAAGCUAGUCUCCCAGGUCUGCUGAUAGAGGCUAACAGAAUCAUGAAAGGAACAAGCUCUAAUCAGAGACAACUAUAACAACUAACUCCAGAGAUUACCAGAUGGUGAAAGGCAAAUGUAAGAAUCUUACUAACAGAAACCAAGACCACUCACUAUCAUCAGAACAAAGCACUCCCACCUCACCCAGUCCUGGGCACCCAAACAUACCCGAAAAGCUAGACCCAGAUUUAAAAGCAUAUCUCACGAUGAUGGUAGAGGACAUCAAGAAGGACUUUAAUAACUCACUUAAAGAAAUACAGGAUAACAUGGCUAAAGAGUUACAAGUCCUUAAAGAAAAACAGGUGUUGGGAGCCGCCCCCACAUUCGCCGUCACAAGAUGGCGCUGACAUCCUGUGUUCUAAGUGGUAAACAAAUAAUCUGCGCAUGUGCCAAGGGUAUUUUAUGACUACUUGUACUCUACCUUUCCCGUGAACGUCAGCUCGGCCAAGGGCUGCAGCCAAUCAGGGAGUGAUGCGUCCUAGGCGAAAUAUAACGCUCCUAAAAAAGGGGACGGGUGUCCGCCAUUCUCUCUCGCUGGCAUCUCUCUGGCUCUGCGCGCCCUGCGCUCGCUCGCUGCCUAAAGAUGUAAACAAUAGAGCGCGCUCUGCGCCCCGGCGCGCCGGAGCUCUGGCUCCUAAAGAUGUAAGAAGGGGGCUUUCGUUUUUGGGGUUUGGGGUUUUUGCACUCCUGCUCCUGAAGAUGUAAGCAAUAAAGUUUUGCCGCAGAAGAUUCUGGUCUGUUGCGUCUUUCCUGGCCGGGCGUGAGAACGCGAUUAAGAAUUGGUGCUGAAAUCCGGGACGAGAAAUUCCGGGACGAGAAAAAAUCCGGGAAGAAAAAACCCGGGAGGAAACUCGGGACGG
rnacentral:lncRNA from 1 species